GAGAGUAUAGCUCAGUGGUAGAGUGCAAGCCUAGCAUGCAUGAGGUCCUGGGUUCAAUCCUCAGUCCACUAA
rnacentral:tRNA from 1 species